rnacentral:rRNA from 1 species
UGUCUAAGUUCUCACUUUAACACAGUGAAACCGCGAAUGGCUCAUUAAAUCAGUCGAGGUUCCUUAGAUGACACGAUCCUACUUGGAUAACUGUGGCAAUUCUAGAGCUAAUACAUGCUAUACAAGCUCCGACCCUCGCGGAAAGAGCGCUUUUAUUAGUUCAAAACCAAUCGCCGUUCAUCAUGCGGGGCGUGUGCUCUCUUCAUUGGGGGUGCGCGUCUCGUAGGCGGCGUCCCGAUUGGUGACUCUGGAUAACUUUGUGCUGAUCGCAUGGCCUUCGCGCCGGCGACGCAUCUUUCAAAUGUCUGCCCUAUCAAAUGUCGAUGGUACGUGAUAUGCCUACCAUGUUUGUAACGGGUAACGGGGAAUCAGGGUUCGAUUCCGGAGAGGGAGCAUG